UUUAUUUUAUUAAUUUUUAAUAAAAAGUUUGAUUUUAGCUUUAUUGUUUAUGUUAUAUUUUUUUUGCAUGUAAAUUUUUGUGUGUAAUUUAAUUUUUUUUGAAAAAAAAUUAUUAAUUUUUUAAAAUUUAUAUUUGCAGCAUUUAAUUUUAAUAAUUAAAGAAAUUUAGAAUUAUAAUUUAUUUUAUUAUAAGUGAAAAAUGUGCCAGCAACUGCGGUUAUACAUUUUAUAUAAAUAAAUAUUAUUUAUUAAGUAAUUUUAUAAGAUUAAAAAUUUUAAGAUUAGUAAAAUUAUUUAAAUUAGGUGAAAUUAUUUUAAAAAAGAUUAUUUUUUUAAAAGAUUAUAUAUUAUUAUGAAAUCUUUUUAAUAAACUAGGAUUAGAUACCCUAUUAUUGAAGAUUUAAAAUAAUUAGAUAGGGUAAUAAUAGUUAUGUUCUUUAAACUUAAAAAAAUUGGCGGUAUUUAAAUCUAAUUAGGGGAAUUUGUUUAUUUAAAAUGAUAAUCCGCAAGAAAUCUUACUUUAAUUAAAAACUUAUUUAUUGCCGUUAUCAGAUUAUUUUUUAAGAAAUAAAAUUUUCUAAUUUAUUUAUUUAUAAAUAUUUCAGGUCUUUAUGUAGUUUAUAUUAAAGAUUAAAUGAAUUACAAUAAAUUUAAUUUAUACGAAUAAAAUAUUGAAAAAUAUAUUUGAAGGUGGACUUAAUAGUAAAAAAAAAUAAUAAUAUUUUUUUGAAAUUGAAAUUAAAUAUGCACAUAUCGCCCGUCACUCUCAUUUUUAAAUGAGAUAAGUCGUAACAAAGUAGAUAUACUGGAAAGUGUUUCUAGAAAGUUUU
rnacentral:ncRNA from 1 species